UGCCCUGGUAGCUCAGUAGGUAGAGCGCCCGACUGUUAAUCGGUAGGUCGGAGGUUCAAGUCCUCCCCUGGGCGU
rnacentral:tRNA from 1 species